AGCAAAACACUAGAAUGCACAGUAAUAUUACAUUACAUAUUAAAUACUGAAAAUGCAUUAAUACUGUAGAUUGCACUGCAUUAUGCUGAAAAAUACUGUUGGAAUUGGAAGCCUGUAAAAAUGACUAUAACACUGUGUUUGUUUACAGUAAUAGCGUAUGCCUCCUCGACAGUGUAAUUGCCUACAAAUGAUCAAUUUCAGGUGCCAACCUCAUGCUGUCAGUUGAGACGCAGACUAUUUUAGUAUUUUGAAGCCGCUGUGAAAUAGAAGAAUAUUUUCAGCAGCUGCUGGGUUCCUGGUUCGAAUCAACCAAGAUGAUGAAACCUGAAGAUGGGACAAAUUACAUGAGAAGGUGGCCCAGAGAAAGCCAACUGUUCUCAACCUCUCCAUUGCCCCAUUCUUCCAAGAGCUCACUGACUUUGAAUGAAGACCUCUAGUGAGUCCUUCCGGUUUGUCCCUUGCCUGUUUCUGGACUCGGUACCCGCCUGCCUGACCAUUCUGCCUGUCUUGACCACGAGCCUGUCUGCCACGCUGUACCUCCUGGACUCUGAUCUGGUUUUGACCUUUUGCCUGUCCAUGACCAUUCUCUUGCCUACCCCUUUGGAUUAAUAAACAUUGUAAG